rnacentral:rRNA from 1 species
GACAGAGGGUGCAACCGUUGUUCGGAAUUACUGGGCGUAAAGCGCGUGUAGGCUGCUCGGAAAGUCGGAUGUGAAAGCCCUGGGCUCAACCUAGGAAGUGCAUUCGAAACUUCUGAGCUGGAGUGCUGGAGAGGAAGGCGGAAUUCUCGGUGUAGAGGUGAAAUUCGUAGAUAUCGAGAGGAACACCGGUGGCGAAGGCGGCCUUCUGGACAGUAACUGACGCUGAGGCGCGAAAGCGUGGGGAGCAAACAGG